AGAGUUUGAUCAUGGCUCAGGAUGAACGCUAGCGGCAGGCCUAAUACAUGCAAGACGAACGGUAAGCUUUGUAGCAAUACGGAGCCUAGAGUGUCGCAAGGGUGCGUAACACGUAUGCAAUCUACCCUGUACAGGAGUAUAGCUCCCCGAAAGGGGAAUUAACCCUCCAUAAUAUGAUGAACCGGCAUCGGUUUAUUAUUAAAACUGAGGUGGUAUAGGAUGGGCAUGCGUCUGAUUAGUUAGUUGGCGGGGUAAUGGCCCACCAAGACGAUGAUCAGUAGGGGUUCUGAGAGGAAGAUCCCCCCACACUGGCACUGAGAUACGGGCCAGACUCCUACGGGAGGCAGCAGUAGGGAAUAUUGGUCAAUGGAUGCAAGUCUGAACCAGCCAUGCCGCGUGCAGGAAGAAGGCCUUCUGGGUUGUAAACUGCUUUUGCCAGGGGAUAAAAUUUCCAUGCGUGGAAAACUGAAGGUACCUGGUGAAUAAGCCACGGCUAACUACGUG
rnacentral:rRNA from 1 species